CGGGAUGUAGCGAAGCUUGGUUAUCGCGUCUGGUUUGGGACCAGAAGAUCGACGGUUCGAAUCCGUCCAUCCCGACCA
rnacentral:tRNA from 1 species